rnacentral:rRNA from 1 species
GAUGAACGCUAGCUACAGGCUUAACACAUGCAAGUCGAGGGACCGGCGCACGGGUGAGUAACACGUAUCCAACCUGCCCUUUACUCGGGGAUUGCCUUUCGAAAGAAAGAUUAAUACCCGAUAUAAAGGAUGGGGAUGCGUUCCAUUAGGUUGUUGGUGAGUUAACGGCGCACCAAGCCUGCGAUGGAUAGGGGUUCUGAUGGGAAGGUCCACCACAUUGGAACGACGACACGGUCCAAACGCCUACGGGAGGCAGCAGUGGGGAAUAUUAGUCAAUUGGCGCUAGCCUGACCCAGCCAAGUAGCGUGAAGGAUGAAGGCUUAUGGGUCGUAAACUUCUUUUAUAUAAGAAUAUGUAUUAUAUGAAUAAGGAUCGGCUAACUCCGUGCCAGCCGCCGCGGUAAUUC